GUUUGAUGUUCUAACGUUGACCCGUAAUCCGGGUUGCGGACAGUGUCUGGUGGGUAGUUUGACUGGGGCGGUCUCCUCCUAAAGAGUAACGGAGGAGCACGAAGGUUGGCUAAUCCUGGUCGGACAUCAGGAGGUUAGUGCAAUGGCAUAAGCCAGCUUGACUGCGAGCGUGACGGCGCGAGCAGGUGCGAAAGCAGGUCAUAGUGAUCCGGUGGUUCUGAAUGGAAGGGCCAUCGCUCAACGGAUAAAAGGUACUCCGGGGAUAACAGGCUGAUACCGCCCAAGAGUUCAUAUCGACGGCGGUGUUUGGCACCUCGAUGUCGGCUCAUCACAUCCUGGGGCUGAAGUAGGUCCCAAGGGUAUGGCUGUUCGCCAUUUAAAGUGGUACGCGAGCUGGGUUUAGAACGUCGUGAGACAGUUCGGUCCCUAUCUGCCGUGGGCGCUGGAGAAUUGAGGGGGGCUGCUCCUAGUACGAGAGGACCGGAGUGGACGCAUCACUGGUGUUCGGGUUGUCAUGCCAAUGGCACUGCCCGGUAGCUAAAUGCGGAAGAGAUAAGUGCUGAAAGCAUCUAAGCACGAAACUUGCCCCGAGAUGAGUUCUCCCUGACUCCUUGAGAGUCCUGAAGGAACGUUGAAGACGACGACGUUGAUAGGCCGGGUGUGUAAGCGCAGCGAUGCGUUGAGCUAACCGGUACUAAUGAACCGUGAGGCUUAACCUUACAACGCCGAAG
rnacentral:rRNA from 1 species